rnacentral:rRNA from 1 species
GACGAACGCUGGCGGCGUGCUUAACACAUGCAAGUCGAACGGAAAGGCCCUUCGGGGUACUCGAGUGGCGAACGGGUGAGUAACACGUGGGUGAUCUGCCCUGCACUUUGGGAUAAGCCUGGGAAACUGGGUCUAAUACCGAAUAGGACCACGCGCUUCAUGGUGUGUGGUGGAAAGCUUUUGCGGUGUGGGAUGGGCCCGCGGCCUAUCAGCUUGUUGGUGGGGUAAUGGCCUACCAAGGCGACGACGGGUAGCCGGCCUGAGAGGGUGACCGGCCACACUGGGACUGAGAUACGGCCCAGACUCCUACGGGAGGCAGCAGUGGGGAAUAUUGCACAAUGGGCGCAAGCCUGAUGCAGCGACGCCGCGUGAGGGAUGACGGCCUUCGGGUUGUAAACCUCUUUCAAUAGGGACGAAGCGCAAGUGACGGUACCUAUAGAAGAAGCACCGGCCAACUACGUGCCAGCAGCCGCGGUAAUACGUAGGGUGCGAGCGUUGUCCGGAAUUACUGGGCGUAAAGAGCUCGUAGGUGGUUUGUCGCGUUGUUCGUGAAAACUCACAGCUUAACUGUGGGCGUGCGGGCGAUACGGGCAGACUAGAGUACUGCAGGGGAGACUGGAAUUCCUGGUGUAGCGGUGGAAUGCGCAGAUAUCAGGAGGAACACCGGUGGCGAAGGCGGGUCUCUGGGCAGUAACUGACGCUGAGGAGCGAAAGCGUGGGGAGCGAACAGGAUUAGAUACCCUGGUAGUCCACGCCGUAAACGGUGGGUACUAGGUGUGGGUUCCUUCCUUGGGAUCCGUGCCGUAGCUAACGCAUUAAGUACCCCGCCUGGGGAGUACGGCCGCAAGGCUAAAACUCAAAGGAAUUGACGGGGGCCCGCACAAGCGGCGGAGCAUGUGGAUUAAUUCGAUGCAACGCGAAGAACCUUACCUGGGUUUGACAUGCACAGGACGCCGGCAGAGAUGUCGGUUCCCUUGUGGCCUGUGCGCAGGUGGUGCAUGGCUGUCGUCAGCUCGUGUCGUGAGAUGUUGGGUUAAGUCCCGCAACGAGCGCAACCCUUGUCCUAUGUUGCCAGCGGGUUAUGCCGGGGACUCGUAGGAGACUGCCGGGGUCAACUCGGAGGAAGGUGGGGAUGACGUCAAGUCAUCAUGCCCCUUAUGUCCAGGGCUUCACACAUGCUACAAUGGCCGGUACAAAGGACUGCGAUGCCGUGAGGUGGAGCGAAUCCUUUCAAAGCCGGUCUCAGUUCGGAUCGGGGUCUGCAACUCGACCCCGUGAAGUCGGAGUCGCUAGUAAUCGCAGAUCAGCAACGCUGCGGUGAAUACGUUCCCGGGCCU